GAUUGAACGCUGGCGGCAGGCCUAACACAUGCAAGUCGAGCGGUAGAGAGAAGCUUGCUUCUCUUGAGAGCGGCGGACGGGUGAGUAAUGCCUAGGAAUCUGCCUGGUAGUGGGGGAUAACGUUCGGAAACGGACGCUAAUACCGCAUACGUCCUACGGGAGAAAGCAGGGGACCUUCGGGCCUUGCGCUAUCAGAUGAGCCUAGGUCGGAUUAGCUAGUUGGUGGGGUAAUGGCUCACCAAGGCGACGAUCCGUAACUGGUCUGAGAGGAUGAUCAGUCACACUGGAACUGAGACACGGUCCAGACUCCUACGGGAGGCAGCAGUGGGGAAUAUUGGACAAUGGGCGAAAGCCUGAUCCAGCCAUGCCGCGUGUGUGAAGAAGGUCUUCGGAUUGUAAAGCACUUUAAGUUGGGAGGAAGGGCAGUAAAUUAAUACUUUGCUGUUUUGACGUUACCGACAGAAUAAGCACCGGC
rnacentral:rRNA from 1 species